GAUGAACGCUGGCGGUGGGCUUAACACAUGCAAGUCGAGCGGCAACGCCCUGCGCUGUUGGGGUGCUCGAGUGGCGCACGGGUGAGUAACACGUGAGUAACCUGCCCUCGACAGUGGGAUAACUCCAGGAAACUGGGGCUAAUACCGGAUAGGAGCUCCGUCUGCAUGGGGGGGGUUGGUAAGUUUCGGCGGUUGUGGGGGGACUCGCGGCUAAUCGGCUGGUGUGUGUGGGGGUGGCUUACCACGGGUUUGGCGGGUAGCGGGGCUGAGAGGGUGACCGGCCUCCUUGGGACUGACCUACGGCCCAGACUCCUGCGGGAGACAGAUGUGGGGAAUAUUGCACGAUGGGCGGAAGCCUGAUGCAGGAACGCCGCGUGCUGGAUGUUGGCCUUCGGGUUUUAGGCCGCUUUCGCCUGUGACGAUGCGUGAGUGACGGUAAUGUGUAAAGAAGCACCGGCUAACUCCGUG
rnacentral:rRNA from 1 species